rnacentral:rRNA from 14 species
GGUAGGAGAAGGCUCUGGAAAGUGCCGCCAUAGUGGGUGAUAGCCCCGUAGCUGUAAAAUGAAGACCUUUUCGAGUAGGGCGGGACACGUGAAAUCCUGUCUGAACAUGGGGGGACCACCCUCCAAGCCUAAGUACUCCUUACCGACCGAUAGUGAACUAGUACCGUGAGGGAAAGAUGAAAAGUACCCCGAUGAGGGGAGUGAAACAGUACCUGAAACCGAAUGCUUACAAU